rnacentral:rRNA from 1 species
UGAACGCUGGCGGCAUGCCUUACACAUGCAAGUCGAACGGUAGAAGGGGCAACCCUUCGAGAGUGGCGAACGGGUGAGUAAUGCAUCGGAACGUGCCCAGUCGUGGGGGAUAGCCCGGGGAAACCCGGAUUAAUACCGCAUACGACCUGAGGGUGAAAGCGGGGGACUCGUAAGGGCCUCGCGCGAUUGGAGCGGCCGAUGUCGGAUUAGGUAGUUGGUGGGGUAAAGGCCCACCAAGCCUGCGAUCCGUAGCUGGUCUGAGAGGACGACCAGCCACACUGGGACUGAGACACGGCCCAGACUCCUACGGGAGGCA